GAUGAAGAACGUAGCGAAAUGCGAUAAGUAAUGUGAAUUGCAGAAUUCAGUGAAUCAUCGAAUCUUUGAACGCACAUUGCGCCCGCCAGUAUUCUGGCGGGCAUGCCUGUUCGAGCGUCAUUUCAACCAUCAAGCCCCAGGCUUGUGUUGGGGACCUGCGGCUGCCGCAGGCCCUGAAAACCAGUGGCGGGCUCGCUGUCACACCGGGCGUAGUAGAUUUUAUCUCGCUCAGGGCGUGCUGCGGGUUCCGGCCGUUAAAAAGCCUUUUUUACCCAAGGUUGACCUCGGAUAAGGUAGGAAGACCCGCUGAACUUAAGCAUAUCAAUAAGCGGAGGA
rnacentral:misc_RNA from 1 species